rnacentral:rRNA from 1 species
UACAGAGGUGGCAAGCGUUGUUCGGAAUUACUGGGCGUAAAGGGCGCGUAGGCGGCCUCUUUAGUCAGACGUGAAAUCCCCCGGCUUAACCUGGGAACUGCAUCCGAAACUGCCUUGCUAGAGUAUGGGAGAGGGAAGUGGAAUUUCCGGUGUAGCGGUGAAAUGCGUAGAUAUCGGAAGGAACAUCAGUGGCGAGGGCGACUUCCUGGACCAAUACUGACGCUCAGGUGCGAAAGCGUGGGGAGCAAACAGG